rnacentral:rRNA from 1 species
CCUACGGGAGGCAGCAGUGGGGAAUAUUGCACAAUGGGGGAAACCCUGAUGCAGCGACGCCGCGUGAGUGAAGAAGUAUUUCGGUACGUAAAGCUCUAUCAGCAGGGAAGAAAAUGACGGUACCUGACUAAGAAGCCCCGGCUAACUACGUGCCAGCAGCCGCGGUAAUACGUAGGGGGCAAGCGUUAUCCGGAUUUACUGGGUGUAAAGGGAGCGUAGACGGUAGCGCAAGUCUGGAGUGAAAUCCCAUGGCUUAACCAUGGAACUGCUUCGGAUACUGUGCAGCUAGAGUGCAGGAGCGGUAAGCGGAAUUCCUAGUGUAGCGGUGAAAUGCGUAGAUAUUAGGAGGAACACCAGUGGCGAAGGCGGCUUACUGGACUGUAACUGACGUUGAGGCUCGAAAGCGUGGGGAGCAAACAGGAUUAGAUACCCCGGUAGUC